rnacentral:rRNA from 1 species
AUUUGCGCACUUCUUGUUUCCUGGGCGGGUUCGCCCGCCACCAGGACCAAACCAUAAACCUUUUUGUAAUUGCAAUCAGCGUCAGUAAACAAUGUAAUUAUUACAACUUUCAACAACGGAUCUCUUGGUUCUGGCAUCGAUGAAGAACGCAGCGAAAUGCGAUACGUAGUGUGAAUUGCAGAAUUCAGUGAAUCAUCGAAUCUUUGAACGCACAUUGCGCCCUUUGGUAUUCCAAAGGGCAUGCCUGUUCGAGCGUCAUUUGUACCCUCAAGCUUUGCUUGGUGUUGGGCGUCUUUGUCUCUCACGAGACUCGCCUUAAAAUGAUUGGCAGCCGACCUACUGGUUUCGGAGCGCAGCACAAUUCUUGCACUUUGAAUCAGCCUUGGUUGAGCAUCCAUCAAGACCACAUUUUUUUCAACUUUUGACCUCGGAUCAGGUAGGGAUACCCGCUGAACUUAAGCAUAUCAAUAAGCGGA